rnacentral:rRNA from 1 species
ACCAUGCCAGUCGAACGUGAAAGCACUUCGGUGUGAGUAGAGUGGCGGACGGGUGAGUAACGCGUGGGAAUCUACCCAGUAGUGGGGGACAGCUACCGGAAACGGUAGCUAAUACCGCAUACGCCCUAUGGGGGAAAGGCUUCGGCCGCUAUUGGAUGAGCCCGCGUCAGAUUAGCUAGUUGGUAGGGUAAAGGCCUACCAAGGCAACGAUCUGUAGCUGGUCUGAGAGGACGAACAGCCACACUGGGACUGAGACACGGCCCAGACACCUACGGGAGGCAGCAGUGGGGAAUAUUGGACAAUGGGCGAAAGCCUGAUCCAGCAAUGCCGCGUGUGUGAAGAAGGCCUGCGGGUUGUAAAGCACUUUCAGUUGGGAAGAUGAUGACGUUACCAACAGAAGAAGCACCGGCUAAAUCCGUGCCAGCGGCCGCGGUAAUACGGAUGGUGCGAGCGUUAAUCGGAAUUACUGGGCGUAAAGCGCGCGUAGGCGGCUAAGUCAGUCAGAAGUGAAAGCCCCGGGCUCAACCUGGGAAUUGCUUUUGAUACUGCUUAGCUAGAGUUUGGUAGAGGAUAGUGGAAUUCCAGGUGUAGCGGUGAAAUGCGUAGAUAUCUGGAGGAACAUCAGUGGCGAAGGCGACUGUCUGGACCAAAACUGACGCUGAGGUGCGAAAGCGUGGGUAGCAAACAGGAUUAGAUACCCUGGUAG